rnacentral:rRNA from 1 species
GACGAACGCUGGCGGCGUGCUUAACACAUGCAAGUCGAACGAAGUGGCGAACGGGUGAGUAACGCGUACUCAACCUGCCCUUCAGAGGGGGACAACAGUUGGAAACGACUGCUAAUACCGCAUACGGAAGGAGGGGAUUGCGUCUUAUUAGCUAGGUGGAGGGGUAACGGCCCACCAAGGCGAUGAUCAGUAGGCGGGCUUAGAGGAUGAACGGCCAAAGUGGGACUGAGACACGGCCCAGACUCCUACGGGAGGCAGCAGUGGGGAAUCUUCCGAAAUGGAAGAAAGUCUGACGGAGCAACGCCGGGGGAGUGAUGACGGCCUUCGGGUUGUAAAGCUAUGUUAAUCGGGACGCGGUACCGGAAUAGAAAGCCACGGCUAACUACGUGCCAGCAGCCGCGGUAAUAC